GCCCGCUCAGAAACUCAAUGAAUUGACGGGGCCCGCACAAGCGGAGGAGCAUGUGGUUUAAUUCGAUGAUACGCGAGGAACCUUACCUGGGCUCGAACGUAAGAUGACUGUAGGUGAAAGCUUACAUCUCUUCGGAGCAUUUUACGAGGUGCUGCAUGGUUGUCGUCAGCUCGUGCCGUGAGGUGUCGGGUUAAGUCCCAUAACGAGCGCAACCCCUACCUUUAGUUGCCAUCAGGUAAUGCUGGGGACUCUAAAGGAACUGCCUACGCAAGUAGUGAGGAAGGCGGGGAUGACGUCAAAUCAGCACGGCCCUUACGUCCAGGGCUACACACGUGCUACAAUGGCCGAUACAGAGGGCAGCUACCUGGUGACAGGAUGCAAAUCUCCAAAGUCGGUCUCAGUUCGGAUCGGAGUCUGCAACCCGACUCCGUGAAGUUGGAUUCGCUAGUAAUCGCGCAUCAGCCAUGGCGCGGUGAAUACGUUCCCGGGCCUU
rnacentral:rRNA from 1 species